CUACAGUACAACUACUUUAUUAUUGACAACAUGCAUGCCAAAUUUUUAUGUCUCAGUAUAUCAAAUCAGGACUUUAAAGUGUUCAAACUAGAGGGCAUUCUUAAAUAGAACCUAUAUAGAAUUCAGUGGCAGAUCCAGAUUUUAUAAGUGGGCGCUGACUGCUAAGAGGGCGCGGCUCGCUCUGGUCAUGAUUCAGUGAUUCCCUAUAUAAUCAACCAAAUUUUUCUCAGAAAAGGGGGGCCCUGGCCCCCCUCUAAAUCCGCCUCUGGCAUUAAUAACAGGACAUGUGUGUCUUUAUAUAUAUUUGAUCUAGUCAAAAUUUUCUUGUUUGAAUAUAUUAACCUAAUUAUGAUCACUUAUGGGAGUGUGUUAGUGAAUGAAAUUACAUAAUGUCUCAGAUUUGACAAAUGUUAGUACAUAUAGCCUUUGUCCAAUCUAGUCUCUUAUCUGCUGAACCAAAAAUGACUGAUAAGUUCCUUAAGCUGUUUUGAACAGCCAAUCAUCCAAGCACAUGUGUAAUGAUCAGAUCUACUUUUGCCUUUUUCAGACAAUUGUAUGUUUGACAUAGUUUUGCUACCAAACUUAAAAGAUAUUGUUAUAUAAUAUACAUUUGUGCUCUGCCAUAUUUACAUUUGUAUACUGAUCUCAGAUUGCACACACUCAUCCAAUGAAAUGAUCUGAUUUACCUCUUAAUACAUGUAGUCUUUUAUGACCAUAUAUAUUUGUUAUAUUUUCAAAGGAAAAUUUGAGGCAUUAUUAUAAACUUCAUGUGAAAUAGUUAUACAUGAUGCAUCUCUUAUACCACAAUGGUAAUGUCACUCCUUGUUCAUCAAGUAUUUAUUAUUCAGGUGAAAUAAUAAAUCCACAUCUUUACUUCAAAAAAUCCUCAUUUAAUAUUUUUACAAGAUACAGAAUCUCACCUUUUUAUGAUAAUUUUAUCUUGAGUUUUUAUUAACUUUUACAUAUGUAUGCAACUUAAUUCUCACAUAUUAUGCAACUUUUCAUUUCAUUUUAUCUCUAAAUAUUAACUUUUCAAUAUAAAGGUAUUAAAAAUGGAAGGAGUUUGCAUAAAACUUGAUAAUGCAUUGCCAAAGUCUUGGUAGAUAUUAUGUUACCAUAUUUUUUGUCAUUUGUAAAAUUGAAUAUCAUGUUAUUUAUGUUUAUUGAAUCAUGACUGCCAUGAAGGAACAAAAGUAUUUAACACACAUUACAAUGUAUUUUCUCAAAUCUAGUGCUAUUUGUGUUUAAUAUUCUAUUGUUUAAAAAAAAAUGUGAUUAUUUAGUUUAGAAGUUGUUAAUACUUAACAUGGUGGAUAGGAAUAUUGAAACUAAAUAUGAUGAGAUGGAUUUAACCUGUGUUUCUGUGUUUCUGUUGUAUCAAUAGAUAAACCUUGAUAGAAUGAAAUUCAAAACAGUGUGGCUGUGGCCAUUGAUUGACACAUUAAAUUC
rnacentral:lncRNA from 1 species